GCGCCUGCGGGCGGUGGAGCAGCGCCUGGAAGCGCUGGUCGAGCGGAUCGCCGGGGCAUCCGGCUAGUCGCGCGCCUGCGGACUCGCCCAAUACAGCUGCCGAUGCCCGCGCGCCUGGUAGUCCUUGACCAGCGCGCAGGCCUCGUCGCGCGUCAGGUCGCGGCGCAUGACGAAGGCAUUGCCGUUGUCGUCCUGGCGCCACAGGCACCAGCGCGUUUCCUCCGCCGGCUUCGCCGCCACCGCGUCAGGCCUUCAGGGUCGAAGUCUUGCGCAAGCGCAGCGCGAGCAUGACCAGCAACACGCCGAAGAACACCGCGUAGGCGCCGAUCACCCAGACCACCGCCAGCGCCC
rnacentral:sRNA from 1 species